UUUUCUUUUAAAAAAAAAAAAAAAUCCCUUUCCUAUUUAUUUUCUGGCAAGCGAAGAAACACACAAGCACUAGGCCACUGGCCAUAAAACCAUCCGAAAAAUGAAAUAAGAGCAGGGGAAAUGUUACUGGAAAUGUGCCAUCAGUCUGGUGCAUUUUAGACCCACUUUUUAAUCACUACAAUUCAAUCAAAAUCCAAAAUCUUAUACAGCAAGAGCAACAACAUUUCCUCCAACCUCAGCGGGGGAGAAAGCCAAGAACAUGAGAGCAGCCAU
rnacentral:misc_RNA from 1 species